GGUGAACGCUGGCGGCGUGCCUAACACAUGCAAGUCGAUCGGAGCAGCAAUGCUUAGAGGCGAACGGGUGAGGAAAACGUAGUAACCAACCCUUUAGACUGGGAUAGCCACUGGAAACGGUGGGUAAUACCGGAUAAGCUCGAGAGAGGAAAGGCAGAGAAGCGCUAAAGGACGGAACUGCGCCCCAUCAGAUAGUUGGUGAGGUAAAGGCUUACCAAGUCAAAGACGGGAAACCGACGUGAGAGCGUGUACGGUCACAAGGGCACUGAGACACGGUCCAGACUCCUACGGGAGGCAGCAGUGAGGAAUAUUGGACAAUGGUCGGAAGACUGAUCCAGCCAUGCCGCGUGAAGGUUACUGUCCUAUGGAUAUUAAACUUCUUUUGUAUGAGAGCAAUAAGGUGCACGCGUGCACCGAUGAGAGUAUCAUACGAAUAAGCAUCGGCUAACUCCGUG
rnacentral:rRNA from 1 species